CCUACGGGAGGCUGCAGUGGGGAAUAUUGCACAAUGGGGGAAACCCUGAUGCAGCAACGCCGCGUGAAGGAAGAAGGUUUUCGGAUCGUAAACUUCUUUGACCGGGGACGAUAAUGACGGUACCCGGAAAACAAGCCACGGCUAACUACGUGCCAGCAGCCGCGGUAAUACGUAGGUGGCGAGCGUUGUCCGGAAUUACUGGGUGUAAAGGGCGCGCAGGCGGGGGUAUAAGUCAGAUGUGAAAACCCGGGGCUCAACUCCGGGAAUGCACCUGAAACUAUAUUUCUUGAGUGCCGGAGAGGGAAGCGGAAUUCCUGGUGUAGCGGUGAAAUGCGUAGAUAUCAGGAGGAACACCGGUGGCGAAGGCGGCUUUCUGGACGGUAACUGACGCUGAGGCGCGAAAGCGUGGGUAGCAAACAGGCUUAGAUACCCGAGUAGUC
rnacentral:rRNA from 1 species